GAUAGCUCAGUUGGUAGAGCGACGGACUGUUAAUCCGCAGGUCGCAGGUUCGAGCC
rnacentral:tRNA from 1 species